UACGUAGGUGGCGAGCGUUGUCCGGAUUUACUGGGCGUAAAGGGCGUGCAGGCGGUUUGUUAAGUGCAGGGUGAAAGCUCCCGGCUCAACUGGGAGAGGUCCUUGCAUACUGGCGAACUCGAGGGAGGCAGAGGAAAGUGGAAUUCCCGGUGUAGUGGUGAUAUGCGUAGAUAUCGGGAGGAACACCUGUGGCGAAGGCAGCUCGCUGGAACGGUACUGACGCUGAGGCGCGAAAGCGUGGGGAGCGAACAGG
rnacentral:rRNA from 1 species